GCCAGGUACGGUGGCGCAUGCCUAUAAUCCCAUCGGCUUGGGAGGCUGAGACAGGAGAAUUGCGAGUUCAAAGCCAGCCUCAGCAAUUUAGCAAGGUUCUAAGCAACUCAGUGAGACCCUGUCUCUA
rnacentral:sRNA from 1 species